AUUUUUUCAUGAGCUUCUUGUGAAGAAUGCUCAUCGCACUUGAAAUAAAAGUUACCACCGAUUCAGUUAAUAUAAAAAAGAAGAUGUGGUAUGAUUGCCAAUGAGACAACUGUCCACAAGAGACCAAUAUGACACAGACAUUAACAACUAUAGGUCACCGUACGGCCUUCAACAAUGAGCAAAGCCCAUACCGCAUAGUCAGCUAUAAAAGGCCCCGAUAAGACAAUGUAAAAUAAUUCAAACGAGAAAACUAACGGCCUUAUUUAUAUAAAAAAAUGAACGAAAAACAAAUAUGUAACACAUAAACAAACGACAACCUCUGAAUUACAGGC
rnacentral:lncRNA from 1 species